AGCGAACGCUGGCGGCAGGCCUAACACAUGCAAGUCGAGCGCCGUAGCAAUAUGGAGCGGCAGACGGGAGAGUAACACGUGGGAACGUGCCCUUCAGUUCGGAACAACCCAGGGAAACUCGGGCUAAUAACGGAUACGUCCGCAAGGAGAAAGAUUUAUCGCUGAAGGUUCGGCCUGCGUCUGAUUAGCUAGUUGGUGAGGUAACGGCUCACCAAGGCGAUGAUCAGUAGCUGGUCUGGGAGGACGAUCAGCCUCACCGGGACUGAGACACGGCCCAGACUCCUACGGGAGGCAGCAGUGGGGAAUAUUGGACAAUGGGCGCAAGCCUGAUCCAGCCAAGCCGCGUGAGUGAUGAAGGCCCUAGGGUUGUAAAGCCCUUUCGGCGGGGAAGAUAAUGACGGUACCCGCAGAAGAAGCCCCGGCUAACUUCGUGCCAGCCGCCGCCGUAA
rnacentral:rRNA from 1 species